AGACAUUGCAUCCAAUUUGGCGUGCAAUUGCUCAACUUUCUCAUUUCGGUCUUCGUUUGCUUGCUGCUCAGCCAACAACAAUUCAAAGAGCUUGGCGAGUUGAUCUUGAACAGAGUUCCCCAUAACUGCUGGCUCUGAUACCAAACUGUUAUGGUCCCGGGUUGUGGAUCUAGUUAUGGGUCGGUGGGUUAAGGGUAUGGCAGGAGUUUGAGUGUUUGGGUUAAGAGUCUUUUUAUGACUUCUGGUCAUUAACAAUUCAGGCUCUAAAAGAGGGAGCCUGGAACCUCUGAGACUUAAAGCGCUCAAGACUUAAUUGAUUUUGGAAGCUUGUACUCUUCAUUAAUGUUAUUGCUUAAAUACAGAAAGGAAGUAUAACUGCUUCCUACAUUAAAGGAGCACUACUUCAACAUGGAGGAACACUCUCCUCAACUAACAACAUGAAAUAGAAAGUGCUUCCUACAUCAAAGGAGCACUACUUCAACAUAGAGAAAACACCCUCCUCAACUAACAACAUGAAAUAGAAAGUGGAGGAAUACCCUCCUACAAACAGGGAACAAUUUAACUAAAAGAUAUUUAAAAAAAUAACUGAAUUAUUUGACUAAUUUAGAGGCUCAAUAUGUGGCUGCUUUGACUUGGGUCCAUGACUGAAUUGGGUAUAGACUUGCAGUGGUUUGGUAACAG
rnacentral:lncRNA from 1 species